UACGUAGGGGGCGAGCGUUGUCCGAAGUUACUGGGCGUAAAGCGCGUGUAGGCGGGUCUUUAAGUGAGGGGUGAAAGGUUCGGGCUUAACCCGGACACUGCCUUUCAUACUGGAGACCUUGAGUGCGGGAGAGGCGAGUGGAAUGGUCGGUGUAGCGGUGAAAUGCGUAGAUAUCGAUCAGAACACCCAUGGCGAAGGCAGCUCGCUGGCCUGUAACUGACGCUGAGACGCGAAAGCGUGGGGAGCAAACAGG
rnacentral:rRNA from 1 species